UACGGAGGGUGCAAGCGUUAUCCGGAAUCAUUGGGCGUAAAGAGCGCGUAGGCGGUCCGGUAAGUCCGCUCUGAAAGUCCGGGGCUCAACCCCGGGAGGCGGGCGGAUACUGUCGGGCUAGAGUCCGGAAGAGGCGAGUGGAAUUCCUGGUGUAGCGGUGAAAUGCGCAGAUAUCAGGAGGAACACCAAUGGCGAAGGCAGCUCGCUGGGACGGUACUGACGCUGAGGCGCGAAAGCGUGGGGAGCAAACAGG
rnacentral:rRNA from 1 species